rnacentral:rRNA from 1 species
UAGGGAAUCUUCGGCAAUGGACGAAAGUCUGACCGAGCAACGCCGCGUGAGUGAAGAAGGUUUUCGGAUCGUAAAACUCUGUUGUUAGAGAAGAACAAGGACGUUAGUAACUGAACGUCCCCUGACGGUAUCUAACCAGAAAGCCACGGCUAACUACGUGCCAGCAGCCGCGGUAAUACGUAGGUGGCAAGCGUUGUCCGGAUUUAUUGGGCGUAAAGCGAGCGCAGGCGGUUUCUUAAGUCUGAUGUGAAAGCCCCCGGCUCAACCGGGGGGGGUCAUUGGAAACUGGGAGACUUGAGUGCAGAAGAGGAGAGUGGAAUUCCAUGUGUAGCGGUGAAAUGCGUAGAUAUAUGGAGGAACACCAGUGGCGAAGGCGGCUCUCUGGUCUGUAACUGACGCGGAGGCUCGAAAGCGUGGGGAGCAAACAGG